CACAAGAUAAGAAUCUCUGGCUUUCAUCUGGCACUGACAACGUUAGAUCGAGAAAUCAGGAAUUUCACACAUGAUUAAUUACACAGGAAGAAAUCAUGUAUAGCUUGUGUUUAGAAGGAAGACGGCCAUGUUAUAUUGACAGUAAUGAUCCUGUGUUCAAAGAGUUCAUCUCUCAGCUCCUUCACACCCAUCUGCUCUACAGCUCCUCCUUCCAGUGGAUGUUUAAGACAUGAUCCAGUGUUCUCACAUUUCAUUGGCACCCCCCACCACCACCACCUUCCUCCUGCAACAUGCCCAUUCUCCACUGAACUAAUCCUCAUCAGCCUGAUGCAUCCGCAUUCGUCAUCGCCGCUCUGUGUUUACAUGGACUGUGUUUUUUUCGAAUCAAAGAUUUGGAGAACUGUGAUGCCUCUCGUACGCAGGUCUGAGGACGAGGCCUCACAGCGUGAUGAUCCCCAGAGGAGUCGUACCUACAUGGUUUUACUUCAGCACUGAGGCCAUGUUGGCAGGAUGACCUCUCAGUGUGGACUACAUAUAAACAGCUCCAGGUGGGGAAAUAUCAGGGAACUGUUGUGUACUCAUUAUUCUACUCAUUAAAGCUAAUAAGACUAACUUUUUUUAAGCUUCAUACAGAUUCUGAGUCAUCUUCUGCUCUGUACUGUGAGAUAAAGAAAAGAGAAAAGACUAGAGGUUUCCAUUACUCAUGAUUCAUCCUCUCUGAACUCAGAUGUUUGGUCGGCUAGCAGGCUUUGUGUGAUUAAACUCCCCCAGUGAAAAUGCUGCACCACAGACUUUAGAUAUCUCCAGGACCAUAAUAAGAGACUCCUCCUUUAGCCUCCUGGUCAGAGAGUUUCUCCUGUGAAGAAAGCUGCUGAUCAAAGACUUCUGAGUGCAUCUUUUUUUUGUAUUAUAACUGGCUGGGGAAUCCUUUUUUCUCACUGCUUUUUGGGAAUUCCUUGUAAUUUUUACUGCCCUGAACAGGGUGUU